rnacentral:rRNA from 2 species
GAGUUUGAUCAUGGCUCAGAGCGAACGCUGGCGGCAGGCCUAACACAUGCAAGUCGAACGGAUCCGUUCGGGAUCAGUGGCGGACGGGUGAGUAACACGUGGGAACGUGCCUUUUGGUUCGGAACAACUCAGGGAAACUUGAGCUAAAUACCGGAUGUGCCCUUCGGGGAAAGAUUUAUCGCCAUUAGAGCGGCCCGCGUCUGAUUAGCUAGUUGGUGAGGUAAAGGCUCACCAAGGCGACGAUCAGUAGCUGGUCUGAGAGGAUGAUCAGCCACACUGGGACUGAGACACGGCCCAGACUCCUACGGGAGGCAGCAGUGGGGAAUCUUGCGCAAGUGGGGGAAACCCUGACGCAGCCAUGCCGCGUGAAUGAUGAAGGUCUUAGGGAUUGUAAAAAUUCUUUUCACCGGGGAAGAUAAUGACGGUACCCGGAGAAGAAGCUCCGGCUAACUUCGUGCCAGCCGCCGCCGUAAG